CUUUUCUUCCUCAAACUCGAGCCGCAGCUUCGUCGGAUUCUCAACCCUAGCAACUCAUUUUCGUCCGAUUCACACAUCUUUCCGACCACUAGGAGCAAAUACGGUGGUAGAAACAAAAGAUCGUCUUUCUUUUUCCAUGUGUAGAGAAUCUGCAAAUUGAAGGAGAAUCUCCUCAUUUGAAUUGGAGGUUGGUGGAGUUCAAGUGUCAUGGUGACCUUUAGUUUUUAGUUUUCUGUUGUGUUGUUUGAUCACUCUUUAUGUUUUGCGGGACAUUAUAAGAUUUGAGUCAUAGAUUCUUAGAUUUGGAAUGUUGGAUCAUUUUAGAUGUUUGAGAAAGAAUGAACAAUAUACAUGUUGGUUUUUUUGCUGAUAAAUGUGGAUUUUUCAGGUCAUAUCCGAAAAAUUCAUUAAUAACCCGAAAACCGAAGAUAACCGAAAAAUCCAAAAAUAACCGAGUGUAACCGAAAAUAUCGGUUUUCUGGUAAAUAAUAUAAAAAUUCGGUUAAAUUCGGAAAUAAAUUGAAAACCGAAAAUAACCGACUUCCGAACCGACCCGAACCGAAUUCAAUUUCGGUUUUCUUCGGAAUUAAUUUUAGAAAUUCCGGUUAACCGAGAACCGAAAUUUCGGUUCGGUUCGGUUUCGGAAAA